rnacentral:misc_RNA from 1 species
UCUAAAUAUUGAAGUGGAAAACGGUAUACUGUUAUUCGUUUUCAGUUUGAUAAAGUUUUAAGUUUUUCUUUUGGGUUUCCUCUUAUGCUUUUCAUAAUAACUUAUUUGAAUUAACCAAUCAAUGAGUGCUUUCGUUUAAAACGUGAAAGAGAAAGGGAGAAAACAAGAGGAAAAACAAAAAGGGUAAAGUGAGCCAAGAUUGUGUUUCCUAACAACUUUUGCUGCAAAUUGAUACUUGAAUAAUUAAAUUUUGAUUAAAUUCUUUGUGUUUUUGUGGUAACCAAUCAUUAGAACAAGCAAGUGGAGCUUAAAAAAUUAUUAUAGUGUUUAUAAUAGGCCAAGUUGUUUGAUUUAUGAUUUGUACAUGCCAAUAAUAUGAGAGUGAACUUUCUAUAGUUAUUGCCUGUUGAGAAUCUUAAGUUUUGGCAAUUGGUAGGCUAUGCUGUAUUGAGAGGAAUG